GACGAACGCUGGCGGCGUGCUUAACACAUGCAAGUCGAACGGAAAGGCCCUGCUUUUGUGGGGUGCUCGAGUGGCGAACGGGUGAGUAACACGUGAGUAACCUGCCCUUGACUUUGGGAUAACUUCAGGAAACUGGGGCUAAUACCGGAUAGGAGCUCCUGCUGCAUGGUGGGGGUUGGAAAGUUUCGGCGGUUGGGGAUGGACUCGCGGCUUAUCAGCUUGUUGGUGGGGUAGUGGCUUACCAAGGCUUUGACGGGUAGCCGGCCUGAGAGGGUGACCGGCAAAAUUGGGACUGAGAUACGGCCCAGACUCCGAAGGGAGGCAGAAGGGGGGAAUAUUGAAAAAUGGGCGGAAGCCUGAUGCAGCAACGCCGCGUGCGGGAUGACGGCCUUCGGGUUGUAAACCGCUUUCGCCUGUGACGAAGCGUGAGUGACGGUAAUGGGUAAAGAAGCACCGGCUAACUACGUG
rnacentral:rRNA from 1 species